AGGAGGGGGCGUGGUCUGGCUGAGGCCCCGCCCCCAGGCGCUGCGGUCGCUGCCGCUGCUGGAGCGGCUGGUGCUGGUGACGCGGCUGGAGCUGGGGGGGAACGGCCUGGGGGGGCUCCCCCCCGCCAUCGGGGGGCUGCGGCGCCUGCAGGUGCUGGACCUGUCGCGUAAUGAGGUCGCGACCCUGGGGGGGUUCCCGCCCCUCCCCCGCCUGGAGGAGCUGCGGCUCGAGGGCAACCCCAUAAGCCACGCCUCCGCCCUCGCCCCAUUGGCCGCCUGCCCCCGCCUGGCUCGCCUGCGAUUGGCCGACACCCCCUUGGCCGCCGCCCCCCGAAGGCGCCGCCCAGCUGGCCCGGCUCCUCCCCCGCGUCGAGGUCGCCCUCGCCUGAUUGGCCGUCGCGCUGAGCUCCGCCCCGCCCCCCACCCACCCCCCCCACCAGAGGAUGGUGCCCCGCCCCUUCUCCCCCGGCCCGCCCGUUAAAGGGGGGGUGUCCUCCAAUAAAGU